GACGAACGCUGGCGGCGUGCCUAACACAUGCAAGUCGAGCGGGGUUGAAGCGAGAGGUAACUCGAGUUUCUACCUAGCGGCGGACGGGUGAGUAACGCGUGGGCAACCUGCCUCAAGGUCUGGGAUAACAGCCCGAAAGGGCUGCUAAUACCGGGUAUGCUUGUGGCCUCGCAUGGGGCUAUGAGCAAAGGGGAAACCCGCCUUGAGAUGGGCCCGCGUCCCAUCAGCUAGUUGGUGAGGUAACAGCUCACCAAGGCGACGACGGGUAGCCGGCCUGAGAGGGUGACCGGCCACACUGGGACUGAGACACGGCCCAGACUCCUACGGGGGCAGCAGUGGGGGAUCUUGCACAAUGGGCGAAAGCCUGAUGCAGCGACGCCGCGUGAGCGAAGAAGGCCUUCGGUUGUAAAGCUCUGUCUGGAGGGACGAAGGAAGUGACGGUACCUCCGGAGGAAGCCACGGCUAACUACGUG
rnacentral:rRNA from 1 species